GAUGAACGCUGGCGGCGUGCUUAACACAUGCAAGUCGAACGAAGCACUUUGGACAGAUUCUUCGGAUGAAGUCCUUAGUGACUGAGUGGCGGACGGGUGAGUAACGCGUGGGUAACCUGCCUCAUACAGGGGGAUAACAGUUAGAAAUGGCUGCUAAUACCGCAUAAGCGCACGGUACUGCAUGGUACAGUGUGAAAAACUCCGGUGGUAUGAGAUGGACCCGCGUUGGAUUAGCUAGUUGGGAGGGUAACGGCCUACCAAGGCGACGAUCCAUAGCCGGCCUGAGAGGGUGGACGGCCACAUUGGGACUGAGACACGGCCCAGACUCCUACGGGAGGCAGCAGUGGGGAAUAUUGCACAAUGGGGGAAACCCUGAUGCAGCGACGCCGCGUGAGCGAAGAAGUAUUUCGGUAUGUAAAGCUCUAUCAGCAGGGAAGAAAAUGACGGUAC
rnacentral:rRNA from 1 species